GGAGAAAUGCGAGAGCAACACAACUAGGAGGGAAGCUCAAAGAAGAAAUGUGAGAGCAACACAACGUGGAGGAAGCUCAUUUUCAAAAAUUGAUACUCACAAAAGAAGAAAUGCGAUGGAGAAAUCAAACAGUCUUUCCACCUCAACAUCUCGGUCUCUUUCAAGGUAAAAAUCUCUUUUUCACUCUAUUUAUCCUUUCUGAUACGAUUCAACUCAACCAUAUUCCCUUGCUCCCUGGUUCCUCCCACUCCCUUUCCCGUGUGAACGUAACAAUGGAUUUUGUGAGGAGAAUCCAACUUUCCGACGAUCAGAAAUUUCUUAUGUCGUGUGAACGCUGCGAACGUGCGGUGACUGUUACGUGCUCUUUUUCUAAACGGGCUUGCAAGAUUGGGAACGGAGGAGGUUUUGUCGAUUUAAUAACUCUGAAAUGUUUCGGCGCCACCCCUACUGAGUUUUAUCUUGGCCACUCCGACGGAGUUUGUGUUUGGCCGUGGCCGGAAGGUUAGGGUGGUGAAUGGAGUUGUGUUGUGAAGGCGUAAAUAUCUCGGGAUUAUGGAUUCAUAAUUUGAAUGGACACGCUGCGGUUGUCCAGAAUGCAUCUGCUAAUUUUACUUAAAUAAAUGAAAGAAUGAGUUUUAAGUUUUAUUUUAUAAUAAUUUUUUUUUGUAUAUUUUUUAUCUGGCAAAUGGAGUUGUGUUGGCAAAUGGAGUUGUGAUGGAAGACUCAGAUUUCUCGAGAUUAUGGAUUCAUAAUUUUAAUGAACAUGCAGCGUUGGCUAGAAUGUAUUUUUGCCGCUUUUACCAAGAUAAAUAAAUGAAUGUGUGCUAAGUUUUAUUUUGUAAUGAAAACAUUUAGUAUUAGUUUUAAUAUAUUUGUCGUUUUUUUUUUUUGUUUUGUUUGGGUCUCCGUAAACUGAACUGUUGAUGUACUUUUAAUUUAAAGCUUUCGUUUGGCAGACUUUGUUAUUAUUUAAGUUAUUUGAGUAAUGUUAAUUUAAACGCCGUACGAAGCUUCACUGCUGAGCAUCCGAUCCGAUCCAGGGGUAACAGUCUCUCUCCUCCUUUGGUAGUCUGACCCCAGACCUGCUUUUUCGUUCUUCUUUUUUUGAUAUGUUUAUGUAUAGCUUCCUAGGAACUGAUAAUGUGCUGAGUGGCAUCGAUGAUUAUGAUCAUAAACAAUGCUAUUAAUCUUUAAUAUGUUCCUUUUUUUAGCUCAUUUAGUUUGUUUGUGUUUGUGGUUUUUUCUUUUUUCUCCCAAUUGUUUGAAUUUGUAAUUUGUAGGACAAGAAUUUAAUUACAGUAUUAAACUUUUUUUAUUUGCUAAUUUUGUAUGAUAAUUAAAAAUCUCUUUCAAAAUGCUUAAAAGAAUUUGCAGCUUGUUGGGGGAUGGCCGAAGAGCACAAGCUUCCGAAUUGGGUGGGUCAAGCGCUCCUCAUUUCUCAUCUUUCAUCUAAGAGUGGAGCUUGAUGGAAAAGAAAUAACACUAUAAAUGCACAUUCGCAAUGUAUAAAGCAUUGUAAUUUGUUUCCUUAUGCAAUCUGCAGUAAUAAAGUUAAAACAGUUUGAAGUU